AUGCUUAACACAUGCAAGUCGAACGAGGUAGCAAUACCUAGUGGCAAACGGGUGAGUAACACGUAGUCAACCUACCUUUAAGUGGGGGAUAACUAGCCGAAAGGUUAGCUAAUACCGCAUGUGAUCUCCGAGAGGCAUCUCUUGGCGAUCAAAGCAGCAAUGCGCUUAGAGACGGGACUGCGUCCCAUUAGUUAGUUGGUGGGGUAACGGCCUACCAAGACUCCGAUGGGUAGCUGGCUUGAGAGAGCGACCAGCCACACUGGAACUGAGACACGGUCCAGACUCCUACGGGAGGCAGCAGUGAGGAAUUUUCCGCAAUGGGGGCAACCCUGACGGAGCGACGCCGCGUGUGGGAAGAAGGCCUUCGGGUCGUAAACCACUGUCGAAGGGGACGAUAUUGACGGUACCCUUGGAGGAAGCCCCGGCUAACUACGUGCCAGCAGCCGCGGUAAGACGUAGGGGGCAAGCGUUGUCCGGAAUCAUUGGGCGUAAAGCGCUCGUAGGUGGAUCUUUAAGUCUGUGAAGAAAGACCUGGGCUCAACUCAGGGAAUGGCAUGGAUACUAUUGAUCUUGAGGUAGUUAGAGGAUGAUGGAAUUCCCGGUGUAGCGGUGAAAUGCGUAGAUAUCGGAAGGAACACCAGUGG
rnacentral:rRNA from 1 species